AUGCAAGUCGAACGAUUAAAGCUCUCUUCGGAGAGUGCAUAGAGUGGCGCACGGGUGAGUAACACGUAAGUAAUCUACCUUCGAGUGGGGAAUAACAGUCGGAAACGGCUGCUAAUACCGCAUAAUGCAGCGGCAUCGCAAGAUGACAGUUGUUAAAGAUUUAUCGCUUGAAGAGGAGCUUGCGGCAGAUUAGCUAGUUGGUAAGGUAAUGGCUUACCAAGGCUACGAUCUGUAACCGGUCUAAGAGGACGGUCGGUCACACUGACACUGAAUAACGGGUCAGACUCCUACGGGAGGCAGCAGUCGGGAAUUUUGGGCAAUGGGCGAAAGCCUGACCCAGCAACGCCGCGUGAAGGAUGAAGUAUUUCGGUAUGUAAACUUCGAAAGAAUAGGAAGAAUUAAUGACGGUACUAUUUAUAAGGUCCGGCUAACUACGUGCCAGCAGCCGCGGUAAUACGUAGGGACCAAGCGUUGUUCGGAUUUACUGGGCGUAAAGGGCGCGUAGGCGGCAUGACAAGUCACUUGUGAAAUCUCCGGGCUUAACUCGGAACGGCCAAGUGAUACUGUCACGCUAGAGUGCGGAAGGGGCAAUCAGAAUUCUUGGUGUAGCGGUGAAAUGCGUAGAUAUCAAGAGGAAUACCUGAGGUGAAGACGGGUUGCUAGGCCGACACUGACGCUGACAGCGCGAAAGCCAGGGGAGCAAACGGGAUUAGAUACCCC
rnacentral:rRNA from 1 species